GAUGAACGCUGGCGGCGUGCCUAAUACAUGCAAGUCGAGCGAACAGAUGAGGAGCUUGCUCCUCUGACGUUAGCGGCGGACGGGUGAGUAACACGUGGAUACCCUACCUAUAAGACUGGGAUAACUUCGGGAAACCGGAGCUAACACCGGAUAAUAUCUUGAACCGCAUGGUUCAAUAGUGAAAGACGGUUUUGCUGUCACUUAUAGAUGGAUCCGCGCUGCAUUAGCUAGUUGGUAAGGUAACGGCUUACCAAGGCAACGAUGCGUAGCCGACCUGAGAGGGUGAUCGGCCACACUGGAACUGAGACACGGUCCAGACUCCUACGGGAGGCAGCAGUAGGGAAUCUUACGCAAUGGGCGAAAGCCUGACGGAGCAACGCCGCGUGAGAGAUGAAGGUCUUCGGAUCGUAAAGCUCUGUUAUUAGGGAAGAACAAAUGUGGAAUUAACUAUGGACGUCUUGACGGUACCGGAUCAGGAAGCAACGGCUAACUACGUG
rnacentral:rRNA from 1 species